AACGAACGCUGGCGGCAUGCCUAACACAUGCAAGUCGAACGGGACCUUCGGGUCUAGUGGCGCACGGGUGCGUAACGCGUGGGAACCUGCCCUUAGGUUCGGAAUAACUCCCCGAAAGGGGUGCUAAUACCGGAUAAUGUCUUCGGACCAAAGAUUUAUCGCCUCUGGAUGGGCCCGCGUUGGAUUAGCUAGUUGGUAGGGUAAAAGCCUACCAUGGCGACGAUCCAUAGCUGGUCUGAGAGGAUGAUCAGCCACACUUGGGCUGCGACACGGCCCAGACUCCUACGGGAGGCAGCAGUGGGGAAUAUUGGACAAUGGACGAAGGCCUGAUCCCGCAAUGCCGCGUGAGUGAUGAAGGCCUUAGGGUUGUAAAGCUCUUUUACCCGGGAUGAUAAUGACAGUACCGGGAGAAUAAGCACCGGCUAACUCCGUG
rnacentral:rRNA from 1 species